rnacentral:ncRNA from 1 species
GUCCGUGAACUGAGGGGAAAUGUCUCCCCCUUCAGAUCCGGCGGCGGGAUGUCCCGCCCAUUACACGCAAGAAGGAG